ACUCCUACGGGAGGCAGCAGUAGGGAAUCUUCCACAAUGGGCGCAAGCCUGAUGGAGCAACACCGCGUGAGUGAAGAAGGGUUUCGGCUCGUAAAGCUCUGUUGUUAAAGAAGAACACGUAUGAGAGUAACUGUUCAUACGUUGACGGUAUUUAACCAGAAAGUCACGGCUAACUACGUGCCAGCAGCCGCGGUAAUACGUAGGUGGCAAGCGUUAUCCGGAUUUAUUGGGGCGUAAGGAGAGUGCAGGCGGUUUUCUAAGUCUGAUGUGAAAGCCUUCGGCUUAACCGGAGAAGUGCAUCGGAAACUGGAUAACUUGAGUGCAGAAGAGGGUAGUGGAACUCCAUGUGUAGCGGUGGAAUGCGUAGAUAUAUGGAAGAACACCAGUGGCGAAGGCGGCUACCUGGUCUGCAACUGACGCUGAGACUCGAAAGCAUGGGUAGCGAACAGGAUUAGAUACCCUGGUAGGAUAGCG
rnacentral:rRNA from 1 species